rnacentral:rRNA from 1 species
CGCGUCUUANCAUGCAAGNNGACGAUGAUCUCCCGCUNGCGGGGGNUGAUUAGUGGCGAACGGGUGAGCUAAUACGUGAGUAACCUGCCCUUGACUCUGGGAUAAGCCUGGGAAACCGGGUCUAAUACUGGAUACGACCUUUCAUCGCAUGGUGGGGGGUGGAAAGGGUUUGACUGGUUUUGGAUGGGCUCACGGCCUAUCAGCUUGUUGGUGGGGUAAUGGCUCACCAAGGCGACGACGGGUAGCCGGCCUGAGAGGGUGACCGGCCACACUGGGACUGAGACACGGCCCAGACUCCUACGGGAAGGCAGCAGAA